rnacentral:ncRNA from 1 species
GAUAAACGACGUCAUCGGUUUUUAUCUAAGUAAUGUGAAAUGUAAAUUUCGAAUUAAUGACGCUGGUAAACCGUACUCUGAGUUUUUAUCUAAGUAAUGUGAAAUGUAAAUAUCGUGUUUAAACACUUCAAAGUCAUAAAAUAUCAUCGUUUUUAUCUAAGUAAUGUGAAAUGUAAAUAUUUGCUGGAUGGAUGAUGGUUGAUUAUCUAGGUCGUUUUUAUCUAAGUAAUGUGA